rnacentral:rRNA from 1 species
UCCUACGGGAGGCAGCAGUGGGGAAUAUUGGACAAUGGGCGCAAGCCUGAUCCAGCCAUGCCGCGUGUGUGAAGAAGGCCUUAGGGUUGUAAAGCACUUUCAGUGGGGAGAAAGGUUAUUCACCUAAUACGUGAGUAAAUUGAUGUUACCCACAGAAGAAGCACCGGCUAACUCCGUGCCAGCAGCCGCGGUAAUA